GGACUCUACUCUUUCUGAUAGGAAGGUUGUGUUUUUAAAAAAAUAAAUCUGACUUAAUUCCUGGAAUACUGACUGACGUGUAGCAUCACUUGGAGUUAAACUGCUGUUAAAGGAGGAGUUUUGGGAUCUUAGAUAAAAUCAUCAGAUUUAAGGUUAUAAAAUGUGACUAAGUUCCUAAAAACACAGCAGAUGUUCUAAUAUCUAACAUCUCUGAUCUGGGCUCCAUAACAGCAGGUUUUUAACUGUGUUUGAAGCAAAAAGGAGAAAAGUUCAACUGAAACAACUGGUUUUAAUUCCAGCAGAUGGAAGCAGGCUAUAAUUGUGUGAAAUGAGGAGGUUUUAUUUUUUUUCCACUCGUUCUGAGGACAGAUUCUAUCACGUCUGCAGCAGAACUAAACAAAGCAAACAUUCCUGCCUCUCAUCAGGUUGUCACGGCGACAUCUGCUGAUAAGAAUCUGAGCUGCUUUAAAACCUCUAAUAUCUCCUGAUGUGUUUUCUCUGACUGUUUCAGUAAAUAAUCCACCUCUGAAACAUCAGCUCUUUUUUUUCUUACCAAUCUUUUUGGCACCAGGGUCAGACAGAAAAAUGUGAAGCGACUCAGCUCACCAACAGUAGAGCCUGGUGACAGCAGGUCUUCUGAUUAUAUGCGGCAGGUCUUCUGCUGAUAGACGGCAGGUCUUCUGCUGAUAUACGGCAGGUCUUCUGCUGAUAGACGGCAGGUCUUCUGCUGAUAGACGGCAGGUCUUCUGCUGAUAUACGGCAGGUCUUCUGAUGAUAGACGGCAGGUCUUCUGAUGAUAGACGGCAGGUCUUCUGAUGAUAGACGGCAGGUCUUCUGAUGAUAGACGGCAGGUCUUCUGAUGAUAGACGGCAGGUCUUCUGAUGAUAUACGGCAGGUCUUCUGAUGAUAGACGGCAGGUCUUCUGAUGAUAGACGGCAGGUCUUCUGAUGAUAUACGGCAGGUCUUCUGAUGAUAGACGGCAGGUCUUCUGAUGAUAGACGGCAGGUCUUCUGAUGAUAUACGGCAGGUCUUCUGAUGAUAGACGGCAGGUCUUCUGAUGAUAUACGGCAGGUCUUCUGAUGAUAGACGGCAGGUCUUCUGAUGAUAUACGGCAGGUCUUCUGAUGAUAGACGGCAGGUCUUCU